rnacentral:rRNA from 1 species
UACGGGGGGGGCAAGCGUUGUUCGGAAUUACUGGGCGUAAAGGGCUCGUAGGCGGCCAACUAAGUCAGACGUGAAAUCCCUCGGCUUAACCGGGGAACUGCGUCUGAUACUGGAUGGCUUGAGUUCGGGAGAGGGAUGUGGAAUUCCAGGUGUAGCGGUGAAAUGCGCAGAUAUCGGGAGGAACACCAAUGGCGAAGGCAGCUCGCUGGGACGUGACUGACGCUGAGACGCGAAAGCGUGGGGAGCAAACAGG